CCUCCUAAACCCUCUUUCUUUCAGCGAUUCAUUUUCAUUUUCACACUCUCUCAAACUCUUGCUCUUUCUCUCACAUCUCACUUCAUCUCAGACCUGAGUUCUCCCUUUCUCUCUCAUACAACCUCAGAUCCAGUCACCUUCACUCCUCCCUCAUACACGCUCACCGGCAGCGGCGCGCGCAUUUAAAGACGAUUGUGAAAUCGGGACUCGGACCUCCUGCUGGCUGCUGUUGCCUAGUUGCUUCGUAAUCGCCAACCUGCAGCCGCAACAUUUUGGCUCGAAACGCGGUGGAUGACGGUGGACGGACAACCUCCAAGAGCCGUGACUCGUGACUAGCAGACUUAGGUGUUGAUUGUAUGUGGUGGAUCCUAUAGACGUGGAAAAUCAUCUUGCGGAGAUAUGGACAUAGUAAUUACACAUCCUGAUGGGCAGAGUACUAUCAAGGCAUUGGUCCAACCUAUUAUGAGGAGAAAAUUGAUGAACUUAUGGAGUUGUGGAUUACAUAUGUCGGAGAUUAACACGAAGCACAAAUGAUGAAUGAGUUCUAACUUUCCGCCUAAUUUUUUUUACCUUAAUCCACUUUUGGACAUACAUUAUAUUUUUGGAUUUGGAUAUUGAUUCAUUUGGAUGUAGCUAUAUGAUAGAUUUGAUCUUGUUUAUGAUUUAUAUUAAUAUUGAUAUGUAUAUAGUAGUUUUUUUUAGAAGUUUAGAAUUAUGAAUAUUAGUUGAAUAAUUUUGUAAUAUAAAGAAUUUUGGAA